AGAACGAACGCUGGCGGCAUGCCUAAUACAUGCAAGUCGAACGAACUCUUCGGAGUUAGUGGCGCACGGGUGCGUAACGCGUGGGAAUCUGCCCCCUGGUUCGGAAUAACAGUUGGAAACGACUGCUAAUACCGGAUGAUGACGAAAGUCCAAAGAUUUAUCGCCAAGGGAUGAGCCCGCGUAGGAUUAGCUAGUUGGUGAGGUAAAGGCUCACCAAGGCAACGAUCCUUAGCUGGUCUGAGAGGAUGAUCAGCCACACUGGGACUGAGACACGGCCAGACUCCUACGGGAGGCAGCAGUAGGGAAUAGUUGGACAAUGGGCGAAAGGCCUGAUCCAGCAAUGCCGGCGUAGAGUGAGUAGAAGGCCGUUAGGGUUAGUAAAGCUUCCUUUUACCCGAGUAUGAAUAAUGACAGUAGUCGGAGAA
rnacentral:rRNA from 1 species